UACAGAGGGUGCAAGCGUUAAUCGGAAUUACUGGGCGUAAAGCGUGCGUAGACGGUUACAUAAGUCGGGUGUGAAAGCCCCGGGCUCAACCUGGGAAUUGCAUUCGAGACUGUGUAGCUAGGGUGCGGAAGAGGGAAGCGGAAUUUCCGGUGUAGCGGUGAAAUGCGUAGAUAUCGGAAGGAACACCAGUGGCGAAAGCGGCUUCCUGGUCCAGCACCGACGUUCAGGCACGAAAGCGUGGGGAGCAAACAGG
rnacentral:rRNA from 1 species